rnacentral:tRNA from 2 species
UGGGAUCUUAGCUCAGCUGGGAGAGCAUCUGCCUUACAAGCAGAGGGUCACAGGUUCGAGCCCUGUAGGUCCCAUCC